GCAAGUCGAGCGGUAACACAGGGAGCUUGCUCCUGGGUGACGAGCGGCGGACGGGUGAGUAAUGUCUGGGAAACUGCCCGACGGAGGGGGAUAACUACUGGAAACGGUAGCUAAUACCGCAUAAUGUCGCAAGACCAAAGAGGGGGACCUUCGGGCCUCUUGCCAUCGGAUGUGCCCAGAUGGGAUUAGCUAGUAGGUGGGGUAACGGCUCACCUAGGCGACGAUCCCUAGCUGGUCUGAGAGGAUGACCAGCCACACUGGAACUGAGACACGGUCCAGACUCCUACGGGAGGCAGCAGUGGGGAAUAUUGCACAAUGGGCGCAAGCCUGAUGCAGCCAUGCCGCGUGUAUGAAGAAGGCCUUCGGGUUGUAAAGUACUUUCAGCGAGGAGGAAGGCAUUAAGGUUAAUAACCUUGGUGAUUGACGUUACUCGCAGAAGAAGCACCGGCUAACUCCGUGCCAGCAGCCGCGGUAAUACGGAGGGUGCAAGCGUUAAUCGGAAUUACUGGGCGUAAAGCGCACGCAGGCGGUCUGUCAAGUCGGAUGUGAAAUCCCCGGGCCCAACCUGGGAACUGCAUUCGAAACUGGCAGGCUAGAGUCUUGUAGAGGGGGGUAGAAUUCCAGGUGUAGCGGUGAAAUGCGUAGAGAUCUGGAGGAAUACCGGUGGCGAAGGCGGCCCCCUGGACAAAGACUGACGCUCAGGUGCGAAAGCGUGGGGAGCAAACAGGAU
rnacentral:rRNA from 1 species